AAUUAACAUAUUUAUGAUACUGUGGAUCAGGCAGAUACGAGUGGAACAGGUAGCUUUAUUUCCUCUUGCAUUAGGAGACUUAACUACAGAUUAACUCUAUACAGUAAAGUACAGAAGUGUCUUGUAGUGAUUAACACACUGCACUGUGUUCAGGUGAAGCUGCAGCUGAGUGUGAAGCCACUUAUGCACAUGUCACGAAGAAAAAGAAGACAAACAGGAACAAUGGUGCUGAUGCUGAAGCUGGUGUUAGUGAUGCGAUUUAUGCUAAUCUUGAACUAAAACCAAUGAAAAAAUGAAAAGAGAAUAAAAGUGAGCCGUGUGUCUGUGUCCACUGAUGAAGCUACAGUUAUCAAACAGAUCACUGGAAAACUGUGAUUUGUGUUUGUCUUCAGUUUUUCCUAAAACGCUCAGAGUAGUAAAGUCUGCUCAUCCCCUUCCUGUACCCAAGAAACAUUACUUCAUCACCUGAAAUGACUUUAAGUUUGUGGCUUAAACAGUGUUUUAUGCAUGCACGAGGUGCAAUACCAAGAGGAGGCUUACGUUAGAGAACUCGUUUUGUACUUCAGUAGUGUUUAGAUAAAAUAUGAAUAAAGAUGUACAACUCUGAAUGAAAUGUAGGUUAUCCUUGCGAUAUAUACAAAUAAUACUUUCCUUAAAACAUAUAUAUUUUAUAUCUUUUCAUUCUGUUUGUUGUUAAUUUUAGACAGGUUAAGCAGUGAUGUUGAUGGUAGUCAAAAAUCAGCAGCUUUCCACAGGUAGUCUACAUUUAAAACCAGGUUAUUGGUAAAUAUGUUUGUGUGGAAUUACAUUGUACAAUUGGGUGUUUUAUAAAUGAACAGUGUCAUAAACAGAG